rnacentral:rRNA from 1 species
UGNAUGUCGAACGCCCUCUUCGGAGGGAGUGGCAGACGGGUGAGUAACGCGUGGGAACCUACCUAUCAGUACGGAACAACUCAGGGAAACUUGUGCUAAUACCGUAUACGUCCUUCGGGAGAAAGAUUUAUCGCUGAUAGAUGGGCCCGCGUUAGAUUAGCUAGUUGGUGAGGUAACGGCUCACCAAGGCGACGAUCUAUAGCUGGUCUGAGAGGAUGAUCAGCCACACUGGAACUGAGACACGGUCCAGACUCCUACGGGAGGCAGCAGUGGGGAAUAUUGGACAAUGGGCGCAAGCCUGAUCCAGCCAUGCCGCGUGAGUGAUGAAGGCCCUAGGGUUGUAAAGCUCUUUCAACGGUGAAGAUAAUGACGGUAGCCGUAGAAGAAGCCCCGGCUAACUUCGUGCCAGCAGCCGCGGUAAUACGAAGGGGGCGAGCGUUGUUCGGAAUCACUGGGCGUAAAGCGUACGUAGGCGGAUAGAUUAGUUAGGGGUGAAAUCCCGAGGCUCAACCUCGGAACUGCCUCUAAUACUGUCUAUCUAGAGAUCGAGAGAGGUGAGUGGAAUUCCUAGUGUAGAGGUGAAAUUCGUAGAUAUUAGGAAGAACACCAGUGGCGAANGCGGCUCACUGGCUCGAUACUGACGCUGANGUACGAAAGCGUGGGGAGCAAACAGGANUAGAUACCCUGGUAGUCCACGCCGUAAACGAUGAAUGCUAGCCGUCNNNNGUUUACACUUUGGUGGCGCAGCUAACGCAUUAAGCAUUCCGCCUGGGGAGUANNNUCGCAAGAUUAAAACUCAAAGG